rnacentral:rRNA from 1 species
AGUGAACGCUGGCGGCAGGCCUAACACAUGCAAGUCGAACGGCAGCACAGAGGAGCUUGCUCCUUGGGUGGCGAGUGGCGGACGGGUGAGGAAUACAUCGGAAUCUGCCUUAUCGUGGGGGAUAACGUAGGGAAACUUACGCUAAUACCGCAUACGACCUACGGGUGAAAGCGGAGGACCUUCGGCUUCGCGCGAUAAGAUGAGCCGAUGUCGGAUUAGCUAGUUGGCGGGGUAAAGGCCCACCAAGGCGACGAUCCGUAGCUGGUCUGAGAGGAUGAUCAGCCACACUGGAACUGAGACACGGUCCAGACUCCUACGGGAGGCAGCAGUGGGGAAUAUUGGACAAUGGCGCAAGCCUGAUCCAGCCAUGCCGCGUGUGUGAAGAAGG